rnacentral:rRNA from 1 species
AUUGAACGCUGGCGGAAUGCUUUACACAUACAAGUCGAACGGCAGCACGGACUUCGGUCUGGUGGUGAGUGGCGAACGGGUGAGUAAUGUAUCGGAACGUGCCCAGUCGUGGGGGAUAACGUAGUGAAAAUUACGCUAAUACCGCAUACGAUCUAUGGAUGAAAGCGGGGGAUCGCAAGACCUCGCGCGAUUGGAGCGGCCGAUAUCAGAUUAGGUAGUUGGUGGGGUAAAGGCCCACCAAGCCAACGAUCUGUAGCUGGUCUGAGAGGACGACCAGCCACACCGGAACUGAGACACGGUCCAGACUCCUACGGGAGGCAGCAGUGGGGAAUUUUGGACAAUGGGCGAAAGCCUGAUCCAGCCAUUCCGCGUGCAGGAUGAAGGCCCUCGGGUUGUAAACUGCUUUUGUACAGAACGAAAAGGUUUCUACUAAUACUAGGAGCUCAUGACGGUACUGUAAGAAUAAGCACCGGCUAACUACGUGCCAGCCGCCGCGGUAA